ensembl:lncRNA
CGUGGUGCAAUAAUUGAAAAUAGAUUUCUCUGAAUUACAGUACUGAUUUAAUAGUCAUAGGUCAAUAGCAAUAUUAGUCGGUUUUUUACUCCUGCAUGUGAACAAUUUGCAGAAAGUGUAUAGAUUUAUUGCCAAAUAAACUAUUUAUGCUUUAUAUAUUUAUAUACUAUGAGCCAGACCAGCGUAGUCAAAUGAAACGCAGUUACACGCAACCUUCCUGUGUUCUCCGGUUUAAUCACCAGGGGGAGUCCUUCAACUACCUCCUCAACGCGGCUGAAGUGUUUCUUAGAGAUUUUACUUAGGCUUAUGGAAGAUCUAUUCAGAAAUGUGACUGCAGAUAAACCUAAGGUAUACCAAGGUGUGCGUGUGAAGACCACCGUUAAGGAGUUGCUGCAGAAGCACAGAGCCCUGCAGGCACAGAAAACCGCAACGGUAAACAAUGGUGUUGUAUAUACGCAAUAAAAGUCAUAAGUCAGUCACUGACGUACAAGUUUAUGGUAGCCAAAGUAAAACGAAGUCUGGUCAGUGCAUGACCAAAUUUAAAAAGCAUCGAAACGUCUUAAAGCACCACGCCCACACAGGCCUAUCUGUGCUUGAGGCUUCAGUUAAUAGCCUACCACAUAAUAGUACAACCUAACGGAAGAUUUCUUCUGUUUUUCAACUGAACGAACGCAAUGAUUAAUGUUUUCCUUUGCUUCUCCCUCUCUUUUCCAAUUUUAAUCCCAUAGAAAUCACAAGCCGUGGCUGCUCGCGAUGUCUGCUCUACGACCAUGAAUACCCACCUUGAUAUCUUUGGAAUGCAAGCUCCAGAGCCCUAUUUCCAGACACAUCCCUUUCCUGAAAAUAUCAACAUCCCGAUGGAGAAUGCUUAUGAUCAUCAACAGAUGAUGCAUAUGAUGCCACCUGAGACUUUCAGCUGCAGUAAUUUCGUGUGUCCCACCUCUGCGCAGUGGUCUAAUGGAUAUCUACCUUCUAAUACGGACCUCUAUGGUACUACUAGCCUGGUUUUGAGGUCACCCUCAGACUCCAUCAAUCUCCCCAGUCCCGUCGACUACAACAGUUACUCCCCCCCUCAGUCCAACUCUUCAUCUUCUUCGUGCUACAACUCCCCAACACGGAUGGAUUUGAGCUCCAGUUUCUCUCCAGAAAAUUACCACUAUCAGCAUUGCAACCUACAGCAUUGCUUUUGUCUGUCGCACUGGUCCAAUGUGCAGGAAGGCAUGGCAACCUCAGAGUUUGCGCCCUACGGCUCAUCAGACUGUUUGUAUUCAUAUGGAGACGACAGCUAUUUCAGAAGGGAUACUUCAAACUCAGACAUGUGUUACUUAUAAAAUGCAUUUUGAAGCGCUUUGCGCAAAAAUCCAGUGUCACAAUUGAUUCAUUCGAAUGCAUUUGUUGUACUUUAGUUUAGAUAAAAGAACAAGCAGUGAUAGAAUGCAUGAUUGGGCUUAGUUUAGUAGUUUAAGCAAAAAGGUUGAUUGCAGAGAGCUAAAUAUGUGUGAGUAUAAUUUACAAAUUAUUAUUUUAUCUUUUUUUACAAUAAACAUAUUUUUCGUAAUUUUACUGGUAUCUUUUAUUAAAAAUGCCAUAGAUCUAUUAAUAAUGGGGAAAAUAUUUCAGAUUUGCAGGGUGUAGUUUCUGUUUCUCACUCUAGAAAUGAACAUCGGAGCUUUGACAGCUGUGGCACAAUUAUGCAUAUCAACAUUCGAC